CGCGGAGGAGCAUUUAAUUGGAAGUUCAGGCCUUCUUCCUAACCGAUGUCGCAAGACUUGCUCAGAGGUGGGGUUUGAACCAUGUUUCUGAGGCAAGUGUGCUACCACUGCGCCACGGCUGCUCUAAGAUUCAAAUUUAAUAGCUGAAGUAAAUAAUUUGACACAAUGUUUAUCAUUACAAGGCGAUAUUAAUAAUGUUUUAAAGUGGUGUAAAUGUUUUAAAGAUUGGUUAAUUAACUUAAAUGUCAACAAAUAUAAAGUUAUGCACAUUGGCAAACAGAAUUUAAUGUACAAUUAUAGUAUAAAUAAAGUAGAUGGCGCACAACUAGUCUUAAAAUCGUUGAAUGAAGAAAGAGAUUUAGGAAUCACGAUAAGAUCGGAUUUGAAAUGGAAAACAUAAGAAGAAAAUGUAUUUGAUCCACUACUCAAUGCAACUAAGGCCUGGUACACGUUUUUCCGAACAAAAAUAAUUAUUGGAAUCUCCUGGGAUUCGAAGAAAAAGUUGGUUUUAAUUUUUAAAAAUGUUAUUGUAAAAAUAGUAUUUUUUGAUUUACUUGAUUUUUAUUUUAAAUAUAAAAAUAAUUCAAAAA